rnacentral:rRNA from 1 species
UAGGUUAAUGAGGCGAACCGGGGGAACUGAAACAUCUAAGUACCCCGAGGAAAAGAAAUCAACCGAGAUUCGCCCAGUAGCGGCGAGCGAACGGGGAGGAGCCCAGAGCCUGAAUCAGUUUGUGUGUUAGUGGAAGCGUCUGGAAAGGCGCGCGAUACAGGGUGACAGCCCCGUUCACAAAAAUGCACAUACUGUGAGCUCGAUGAGUAGGGCGGGACACGUGGUAUCCUGUCUG